UCCAACACCCGUAAACCCACGGGAAACACAGACUAAGAGUAAAUUAUGACACAUGGCUCUAAUAUCCAGAAGUGUCUAUAGCAAGAAAGUACAUGGAUAAAACUACUAGCUAAGGGUAGAGUAGAGGGAGACUCUUCGGCUCUGCGGACGCGGAAGAUGUAUACCUCAGAUCUUCGAGUAUAGCUCCUAAUCAUUGAUAGCGCGCCGAAAAAGAUGUACCUGGAUCUGCACAACAAAAGUGUUCAGAAAAGGUAGCUUGGGUACACCACAGCGGUACUCAGUAAGUGUCAAGCCUAACCUCGAUGGAGUAGUAACGAGGAAGAUCGAGGCCCUACUGAGAAGAAUAUAAAAAAAUAAUGUAAAAAUAAAUAACAUAAAAUAACGCAAUAAAACCGAAUACCUAACAAGACCUUAAUAAAAAAAUAGGGCGGCUGCAAGUACAAACUACAAACACAAAGAAAUUCACUCAACAAUCAGGAUCUCCACAUGGAGCUCCGGGAAUCGAACCUGCAAUCCACCUUAUCAAUAUCCGAGGAUCUCCGAGAAUCGAACCCGUAGUCCUUCAUACCAGUACUAGAGGAUCUCCCGGAAUUGAACCCACAGUCCUUUAUGCCAAUAAUAGAGGAUCUCCGGGAAUUGAACCUGUAGUCCUUUAUAUCAAUAUCAGAGGAUCUUCCGGGAAUUGAACCCGUAGUCCUUUAUACCAAUAACAGAGGAUAUCCUGGAAUUGAACCCGCAGUCCAUUAUAUCAAUAUCAGAGGAUCUUCCGGGAAUUGAACCCGUAGUCCGUCAUGCUAAAAUUCGAGGAUCUCCCAGGAAUUUGCCCCGCAGUCCAACAUACCAAUAACAGGGGGAUCUCCCGGGAAUUGAACCCGUACUCCCAAACAUAAACACUUCACAACAAGUCAAUAUUUAACAGAAGAAACCAAAUAUAGCAACAAUGUAAAGGUGUAGGCCUAGCAUGCUGAUAAAGAGGGUAGGUAUUUGCGAUUUAGUCAGUUAGAGCAAAUAAAUUACUAACAUGCUUUUCCUUAGCUAAGCAAGUAGAAUCACAUUCUUAACAGUUAAAUACAUGAAGAAACACAGUCUAAAUAAGUCAAGUAAGGUGCAUUUUCAGCAAUUAUCACAAGUACACGCCUGUAACCUCGCGCACAAGGCCUUUAAACAACAAUUAAUAUAUCCUAAGGGGAGAGAUCCCCCACACA
rnacentral:lncRNA from 1 species